AGAAACACCCAACUUGUAAAUUUCAGAUGACAAAGUGAAACAACUUUUCGGUAUCAAUGAAGUAGUAUUAAUCUCCCAACUAGUAAGUAAAUUAAGCAUACAAACUAAAAUCAAGAACACAAUAGACAAAAUUGAUUUCAAUCACGAAACUGAAGCUAGAUUUUAGAAAUCAGGGAGCUAAUUAGAUGCUAUUUCGGGAAAGUAAUAACCCAGAAGGAAGAAAACGAAAUGUGACUGUUCUUAGUGCCUAAGAGUGAAGACAAAAGGAGAAAAGGAAGAAAAUUUGGUAGCUCAAAGCGUAAACAAACCUUGCCACCAUUGCAGAUCUCUU